rnacentral:rRNA from 1 species
AAUGAACGUUGGCGGCAUGGAUUAGGCAUGCAAGUCGAGCGAGAAGUGUAGCAAUACACGGAAAGCGGCGGAAGGGAGAGUAAUACGUGGGAAUCUGCCCUUAGACUUGGGAUAGCAGCGGGAAACUGCUGGUAAUACCAGAUAAUGUCUAUGGACCAAAGGUGUGAUUCCGUCUAGGGAUGAGCCCACGUCCUAUUAGCUAGUUGGUAGAGUAAUGGCCUACCAAGGCGAUGAUGGGUAGCGGGUGUGAGAGCAUGACCCGCCUCACUGGGACUAAGACACUGCCCAGACACCUACGGGUGGCUGCAGUCGAGAAUCUUCGGCAAUGGGCGCAAGCCUGACCGAGCGAUGCCGCGUGCGGGAUGAAGGCCUUCGGGUUGUAAACCGCUGUCGAGGGGGAGCAACUUCCAUAGAGUUAUCUUUAUGGAUUGAGUGAUCCCUGGAGGAAGGACGGGCUAAGUUCGUGCCAGCCGCCGCCGUAAAAC